GCGGGCGCGCUCAUCAGCCUCCGCGAGCUAUGUCUGUCCUCCGCGGUUCCGGCAGGGGGUCCGCGGCCGACAGGAUGUGUGCCCGGGGGUAGCAGAUGCCCGUAGGUUAGUCAUAUCUCAGGCGGCACCGGGGUAGCAGGGAGGUGCCACCGUCGCUCUUAAUAAGUUCGGCGUCCUUGCGGUGUCCUCUCAUAGUUCGGCGUCCUUGCGGUGUCCUCUCAUAGUUCGGUGUCCUUGGGUGUCCUCGGGUGUCCUCUCAUAGUCCGGUGUCCUUGGGUGUCCUUGCGGUGUGUCCGUAGUAGAGGGAUCCUUCAGAAGUGCGCGGGGAGGAGGACGCGUCGUUGCCAUGGCCGUCGGUCGCGUCGGAGUGAGCGAAGGAUUCUCGGACGCCAACGGGGCCUGAAGCGGAGCGGGGGAGUCCAAACGGGCGACUCAGGGGACCACUCUGGGUCCUCCGUUUAAGUGGGCCGGACCCUUUUUUAAGUGAACGCGGCAUUCGUGGUCGGUUUAGUAAGCCUCCUGUCUGGCUGGGAGGAGGAGCAGCAGCUUGAAGGCUGAGCUUGAAGGAGGAGCUUCGAGGACGAGCUUGAAGGAGGAGCUUGGAGGCUGAGCUUGAAGGAGGAGCAGGAGCAGCAGCAGCUCGAAGGAAGGAAGGAGCUUGGAGGCUGAGCUUGAAGGAGGAGCUUCGAGGACGAGGGAGAGACACGAUGCUGACGGGACAUCUGCAGAACCUGAUCCAGGCCGUGAGUCAGCAGUACGCCAGGUGGAGCAUCCACUCGACCGGCGCUGAGUCCGGCGAGGAGGACGCUCAGCACGCGCAGCAAGUUUUGUCACUGUCUAUUUGCCCGCGCACUGUGAACCGCGACGCAACGAAUAACGAACACCAAAGAGAAAGAAAUAAAAAUAAA